rnacentral:snRNA from 1 species
UUGUUUCAGCAGCACAUGUACUAAAAUUGGAAUGAUACAGGGAAGAUUAGCACGGCCCCUGCACAAUGAUGACAUGCAAAUUCACGAAGCAUUUUAUUUUUCU